rnacentral:sRNA from 22 species
UGACCAGUUUCAUUAUUGAAACUCAAGGCCAUACGGACAGCCGGGUCAACUGCCGG